rnacentral:rRNA from 1 species
GACAGAGGGUGCAAGCGUUGUUCGGAAUUACUGGGCGUAAAGCGCGUGUAGGCGGCUAUGCAAGUCGGAUGUGAAAGCCCUCGGCUCAACCGGGGAAGUGCACCCGAAACUGCAAAGCUAGAGUCUCGGAGAGGAUCGUGGAAUUCUCGGUGUAGAGGUGAAAUUCGUAGAUAUCGAGAGGAACACCGGUGGCGAAGGCGGCGAUCUGGACGAUGGCUGACGCUGAGACGCGAAAGCGUGGGGAGCAAGCAGG